CGGACGGGUGAGUAAUGCCUAGGAAUCUGCCUGGUAGUGGGGGACAACGUUUCGAAAGGAACGCUAAUACCGCAUACGUCCUACGGGAGAAAGUGGGGGAUCUUCGGACCUCACGCUAUCAGAUGAGCCUAGGUCGGAUUAGCUAGUUGGUGAGGUAACGGCUCACCAAGGCGACGAUCCGUAACUGGUCUGAGAGGAUGAUCAGUCACACUGGAACUGAGACACGGUCCAG
rnacentral:rRNA from 1 species